GCGGCAGUGGAAUAACGGUUGUUCGCCUGCCUUCCAAGCAGGUAGAGGAAACUCGUACGCGGGUUCGACUCCCGUCUGCCGCUCCA
rnacentral:tRNA from 1 species